rnacentral:rRNA from 1 species
AUUGAACGCUGGCGGCAUGCUUUACACAUGCAAGUCGAACGGCAGCACGGACUUCGGUCUGGUGGCGAGUGGCGAACGGGUGAGUAAUACAUCGGAACGUACCCAGUAAUGGGGGAUAACUAUCCGAAAGGAUAGCUAAUACCGCAUACGCCCUACGGGGGAAAGAGGGGGAUCGGAAGACCUCUUGUUAUUGGAGUGGCCGGUGGCUGAUUAGCUAGUUGGUGAGGUAAAGGCUCACCAAGGCGACGAUCAGUAGCGGGUCUUAGGGGACGAUCCGCCACACUGGAACUGAGACACGGUCCAGACUCCUACGGGAGGCAGCAGUGGGGAAUCUUGGACAAUGGGCGCAAGCCUGAUCCAGCAAUGCCGCGUGCGUGAAGAAGGCCUUCGGGUUGUAAAGCGCUUUUGUCAGGGAGCAAAUCCUUGUGGCUAAUACCCACCGGGGAUGAGAGUACCUGAAGAAUACGGACCGGCUAACUACGUGCCAGCAGCCGCGGUAA